rnacentral:rRNA from 1 species
AUUGAACGCUGGCGGCAUGCCUUACACAUGCAAGUCGAACGGUAACGGGCCUUCGGGUGCCGACGAGUGGCGGACGGGUGCGUAAUACAUCGGAACGUGCCCGAUCGUGGGGGAUAACGAGGCGAAAGCUUUGCUAAUACCGCAUACGAUCUACGGAUGAAAGCCGGGGACCGCAAGGCCUUGCGCGGACGGAGCGGCCGAUGGCAGAUUAGGUAGUUGGUGGGAUAAAAGCUUACCAAGCCGACGAUCUGUAGCUGGUCUGAGAGGAUGAUCAGCCACACUGGGACUGAGACACGGCCCAGACUCCUACGGGAGGCAGCAGUGGGGAAUUUUGGACAAUGGGCGCAAGCCUGAUCCAGCCAUGCCGCGUGCAGGAUGAAGGCCUUCGGGUUGUAAACUGCUUUUGUACGGAACGAAAAGCCUUCUUUUAAUACAGGAGGGUCAUGACGGUACCGUAAGAAUAAGCACCGGCUAACUACGUG